rnacentral:tRNA from 1 species
GGCUGAGUGGUAUAGCGCUUGUCUUCCGAACAUUGGGGUCCUAGGUUCGAAUCCUGG